rnacentral:rRNA from 1 species
GACGAACGCUGGCGGCGUGCUUAACACAUGCAAGUCGAACGGAAAGGCCCCUUUGUUGGUACUCGAGUGGCGAACGGGUGAGUAACACGUGAGUAACCUGCCCUUGACUUCGGGAUAACUUCAGGAAACUGGGGCUAAUACCGGAUAGGAAUCCUUGCUGCAUGGUGGGGGUUGGAAAGCUUCGGCGGUUUUGGAUGGACUGGCGGCUUAUCAGCUUGUUGGUGGGGUAGUGGCUUACCAAGGCUUUGACGGGUAGCCGGCCUGAGAGGGCGACCGGCCACAUUGGGACUGAGAUACGGCCCAGACGCCUACGGGAGGCAGAAGUGGGGAAUAUUGCACAAUGGGCGGAAGCCUGAUGCAGAAACGCCGCGUGCGGGAUGACGGCCUUCGGGUUGUCAACCGCUUUCAGCAGGGGCGAAGCUUGUGGUGACGGUACCUGCAGAAGAAGCACCGGCUAACUACGUG